UACGUAGGGAGCAAGCGUUGUCCGGAAUCAUUGGGCGUAAAGCGCGCGUAGGUGGCCCCAUAAGUCCGCUGUGAAAGUCAAAGGCUCAACCUUUGAAAGCCGGUGGAUACUGUGGGACUAGAGUACGGAAGAGGCAAGUGGAAUUCCUGGUGUAGCGGUGGAAUGCGCAGAUAUCAGGAGGAACACCAAUAGCGAAGGCAGCUCGCUGGGACGUUACUGACACUGAGGCGCGAAAGCGUGGGGAGCGAACAGG
rnacentral:rRNA from 1 species